GACUACCGUGCCGGUGACGGGUAACGGAGAGUUGGGGUUCGAUUCCGGAGAGGGUGCCUGAUAAACGGCAACCAUCACUACGGUGAGCAGCAGGCGCGCAAAUUGCCCAAUGCCAAUCCUGGCGAGGCAGCGACGAAAAAUAAUAACUCUGUUGCGCUUAGCGUAUCAGAGAUUGUGAUGGAUUGUAUCUAGUACACACUGCUGAGUAUCAAUUGGAGGGCAAGUCUGGUGCCAGCAGCCGCGGUAAUUCCAGCUCCAAGAGCGUAUAUAAAUGUUGUUGCGGUUAAAAAGCCCGUAGUUGGAUUUGAGAUCAUUGCUGGUGUUCGCCCCCCCACCCUUGCGGCGGGGAUUCGGCCGAGCACAUCACGGUGAUGGUCUGUCUGCACGCGGGAACGGACGUCGGCCUUUCUUUUUCGGAGGUUAGGCAAACACGGAGUCAACACGCUCCAUAAGACGCGCCCGCGGAUGUUACUGUGAGUAAAACAGAGUGUUCAAGGCAACCUAUUGGUUGAAUGUUAAAGCAUGGAAUGACAAGGGAUCGACCACGGAGGCCUCUUUUUGUUGGUUUUCAAGCCUCAGUGCGGUAAACCUGCACAUGGGAAACCCGAGCAGUGGCAACCUCGGUUCCCUGUUCGGACCCGUGUGCACCCGGGAUCAACAGGAGCACAGGGGGUCAUGAGUACUGGAGGGUGAGCGGUGAAAUGCGGAGACCCCUCCAAGACUGACAUCAGCGAAAGCACUUGACUAUUGUGCUUUCAUUAAUCAAGGACGAGAGAUAGGGGAUCGAAGAGGAUUAGACACCCUCGUAGUUCUUUCCUUAAACUCUGCAGACUUGGGAUCGGUCAGUGCUCAGUUUCUUGACCCGAUCGGCCCCUCCCCCUUGUAUCGAGAAAUCAAAGUCUUUGUGUUCCGGGGGGAGUACAUUCGCAAGGCUGAAACUUAAAGGAAUUGACGGAGAACCACCACCAGUGGUGGAUUGUGUGGCUUAAUUCGACCCAACACGGGAAAUUUUAGCUAUAUAGGACAUGGGCAGGAUUGCCAAGUUAAAGCCUUUGCUUGAUUCCAUGAAGGGUGGUGCAUGGCCGCUUCUGGUUGGUGAAUGUGAUUUGUCUGCUUAAUUGCGAUAACGAACGAGAUCUCUGCCAAUUACUAGAUGCCGCUUUCGUGGUAGGCUGUGUACAGGCUUCAUUGGCUUCCGGGCUGUGGAUCUGUACGGGCCGAGAAGGCGGAGCUUUUUACUUAUUGGGAUUAUGCGUCUUUUAAACGCAUUGAAACGAGAGCCCAAAGCAGGUCUGUGAUGCUCCUAAAUACAUAGCGCCGCACGCGCAAGACACUGACUCAGCCAACGAGUUUCUGCUUCCGCAGCCUGUUCUGAAGAGAACGGGGAAUCUUUGAGCCUGAGUCGUGAUGGGGAUUGAAGCUUGAAAUUAUUCUCCAUGAACGAGGAAUCUCUUGUAGGCGCGUUUCAUCAGAACGCACCGAAUACGUCCCUGGUUCUUGUACACACCGCCCGUCGUUGCCUGUAAUGGGUUGCGAGUAGAGCCUUUUGGAGAUGACGCGCUCCUCCCGGAGUGUCGGCGUCAAAAUUUGACGAUACUCGCAAUCUAGAAGAGGCAAAAGUCGUAACAAGGGU
rnacentral:rRNA from 1 species